GCCACAGUAGCUCAGUGGUAGAGCACCCGAUUCGUAAUCGGGCGGUCGUGAGUUCAAUCCUCACCUGUGGCUC
rnacentral:tRNA from 1 species